rnacentral:rRNA from 1 species
GCGGUAAUUCCAGCUCUGUAAGCGUAUACCAAAGUUGUUGCAGUUAAAACGCUCGUAGUCGUAUAUUGGCGGGCAUGUCGGGGCGUCCUCGCGGAUGUGCUCGGCGUGGCCGCCUUUGUGGAGGGGGGCUGCGUGGUGCUUCACUGCAUUGCGUGGUCGCUGCCACCGUUUACUGUGAAAAAAUUAGAGUGUUCAAAGCGGGCGAUUGCCAUGAAUACAUUAGCAUGGAAUAAUAGAAUAGGACUUGGUCUUAUUUUGUUGGUUUGUUGAGAUCAGGUAAUGAUUAAGAGGGACGGUUGGGGGCAUUUGUAUUCCGACGUCAGAGGUGAAAUUCUUGGAUU